rnacentral:lncRNA from 1 species
UUCAUUUCACAGCUUCUCCCAAAAAAAAUUUCACAUCUCUCAAACAAGCCAAAAAUGGCCAGCUAAGCUUCAAACCCCAAAACCUAUAAUCUGGUAGUAGCGUCGUUGCCACCUCUUCCUCUGCCGUAGUCGUCGCUUCCUCCACUACCAGCCGCUAGAGCCAGUUUGAUCCCAAACUGCACCAAAAUCUCCUUCUUGACCUCCUAAACACGGUUUCGAGCUUAGUUUGGCCUAAAAAUGCUUCGAGCAACCUAGAUCUACCCUUAAAGUUUCGACCAAAAACCUCUUUCCUUUUUUUUUUUUUGGUUUCUUUCUUUUAGUUGUGUUUCGACGCUAUGUUCUCCGUUCCAAGAAAUGUGUUAUUUUUUGUUUUUGUUUGUAUUUUUUCUUUUAUAUUUUUUGGGUCUUUUUUUGUAUUUUUCUAGUUUUUUUUAUGGGUUUUUAGUUAUGAUGGAAGAGCUGUAAGUGGUAGUUUCAGUGGGGAAUGUGGGGUUAUUGUUGCUGGGAUUGGGGUAAUUCAGCGAUGAAGAUGGUAAAAUGGGUCUCAGAUAGUGUUGGUAAAGUUUGUGUGGCUCAAAGAAGGUUGAUUAUGGUAGGUGUGGUUGCUCGUUUCUGUUUUGGGUCUAAAUGAGUGUAGGGGCUAGGUUAAUUAUAAAGAAUGGGGGACUAUUCUAGGUGAUAGUUUGGGUUUGGCUAGAAAGACAGUAUUGAUGGUGAUGAAGGUCGUGAGGAUGUGUAAUGGUGAUUGAUUUAGGGUUUUGCAAAGCGUAAUUGGUAUUGGACAAGGGUAGUGGUACGCACAGUGGUCGGUUAGUGGGUGUGAUGGGGAUUGGGAUUUUUGGUUAAGAUAGUCGUGGGGUUAUUUUUUUUCGUCGGGUAUUCUACGAUUUGUUUUAAUAAAAUGCCAUCCUCUUAUAAAUUCCUAGCUUCCUUAUGGAACCAAUUCUCUGAUAGAUAGGAUCGAAAUCUCCCCUUGAUAAUUGAGAUUUUUUGGAAUCUUAUUGCAGCGAUGGAUGCUGCAACUUCUAGGUGCGUAAUGUUGCAUUUUGGGGUUUUAAUGAAUUCAUGUUUGGAGUCAGCAAAAGGUAAAACAUUAGGUAAAAAAUAAAAAGCUGAAAAUGA